UGGUCGUAGUGCUCCUUGCCUCUCUCUGUCGUGGUUCUGCUCAGCCUCAUCUUCUCGAACCCAGCCCUGGUCGUGGUGCUGCUCGCCUCUCUCUGUGUGAGGUGCGGCCACCGCAGCUUUCACCUCCAGAAGAGUCGCUGCUCCGCCUGUGCUUCCCCCACUGCAUGCAAGAUGAAAUUACGAGAAGGUUGAGAAGAUUAGGGAAGGAACCUACGGCAUCGUUUACAAGGCUCACGACCGCGUUACCAAUGAGACCAUCGCUCUCAAGAAGAUUUGCCUUGAGCAGGA